rnacentral:rRNA from 1 species
GGCGAACUGGUGAGUAACACGUAGGUGACCUGCCUCGAAGACGGGGAUAACCAUCGGAAACGGUGGCUAAUACCCGAUACAUUCGGCAAUUCAGUUUGUCGAGUAAAGCUCCGGCGCUUCGAGAUGGACCUGCGGCCUAUCAGCUAGUUGGUAGGGUAAUGGCCUACCAAGGCGAAGACGGGUAGGGGGCGUGAGAGCGUGGUCCCCCACACUGGCACUGAGAUACGGGCCAGACUCCUGCGGGAGGCAGCAGUCGGGGAUAUCGCACAAUCAGCGAAAGCUGGAUGCAGCGACGCCGCGUGGGCGAUGAAGGCCUUCGGGUUGUAAAGCCCUUUUAUGGGGGAAGAGAAAAAGGACGGUACCCCAAGAAUAAGUCCCGGCUAACUACGUGCCAGCAGCCGCGGUAAAACGUAGGGGACAAGCGUUAUCCGGAUUUACUGGGCGUAAAGAGCGUUUGAGGCGGUUCCGUAAGUUGGGCGUUAAAGCCCCGGGCUCAACUCGGGGAGGUCGUUCAAUACUGCGGAACUUGAGGGCAGCCAGAGGGAGGCGGAAUUCCCGGUGUAGCGGUGAAAUGCGUAGAUAUCGGGAGGAACACCAGUGGCGAAGGCGGCCUCCUGGGGCUGCAUCAUGACGCUGAAGACGAAAGCUAGGGCGAACGAACGGGGAUUAAGAAACCACAGGUAGUCCCUAGCCAGUAAACGAAUGGAUGCUUGGGUGUGGGGAGGUAUAGAUUCCCCUCCGUGCCGAAGCUAACGCGUUAAGCAUCCCGCCUGGGGACUACGGCCGCAAGGCUAUUACUCGAACGUAUUGACGGGGUCCCCGCACAAGCAAGCGGAGCGUGUGGUUUAAUUCGAUGCUACACGAAGAACCUUGCCUGGGUCAGACACGCAAGUAGUAGUGAAAGCGAGAACGGGACCGACCCUUCGGGGAGCUUGCACAGGUGAUGCAUGGCAGUCGUCAGCUCGUGCCAGUGAGCUGUCGGGUUAAGUCCCGUGACGAGCGCAACCCUUGCCUUUAGUUAUACGUGUCUAAGGGCACUGCCCGGGACAACUGGGAGGAAGGUGGGGAUGA